UACAGGGGGUGCAAACGUUGCUCGGAAUUAUUGGGCGUAAAGCGUGCGUAGGCGGUUUGUUAAGUCCGUUGUGAAAGCCCUGGGCUCCAACCUGGGAAUUGCAGUGGGAUACUGGCAGCUAGAGUACGGUAGAGGAUGGUGGAAUUCCCGGUGUAGCGGUGAAAUGCGUAGAGAUCGGGAGGAACACCCGUGGCGAAGGCGGCCAUCUGGACCAGUACUGCACGCUGAGGCACGAAAAGCGUGGGG
rnacentral:rRNA from 1 species